GGGGAAUUUUGGACAAUGGGCGAAAGCCUGAUCCAGCCAUUCCGCGUGCAGGAUGAAGGCCCUCGGGUUGUAAACUGCUUUUGUACAGAACGAAAAAGCUCUUUCUAAUACAGAGAGUCCAUGACGGUACUGUAAGAAUAAGCACCGGCUAACUACGUGCCAGCAGCCGCGGUAAUACGUAGGGUGCAAGCGUUAAUCGGAAUUACUGGGCGUAAAGCGUGCGCAGGCGGUUUUGUAAGACAGAGGUGAAAUCCCCGGGCUCAACCUGGGAACUGCCUUUGUGACUGCAAGGCUGGAGUGCGGCAGAGGGGGAUGGAAUUCCGCGUGUAGCAGUGAAAUGCGUAGAUAUGCGGAGGAACACCGAUGGCGAAGGCAAUCCCCUGGGCCUGCACUGACGCUCAUGCACGAAAGCGUGGGGAGCAAAC
rnacentral:rRNA from 1 species